GAGGUAUUUUGAGUGAUGGCGAGAACUUGGAUGAGCGAGAUAUACAUCUCGAAUCCUAGCCUCAGGAGUGCAUGGUAUACACCAUGUUCCAUUUCCAUCUUUAUUGAAAAAGUAUUAAGGUAUGAAUUAGGUAUUUUGAAGUUUGAAAGACGAGUACUUGUGACCUACAAGCUCUUACAGCUUGGGUCUAAUACUCGGGACUACGUCUGGACAUUCCACCCAGGCAGUCUGUUUCUUUCCAAUAUUGCUAAGAAAAUGAUUCGAAUAUUUAUG
rnacentral:lncRNA from 1 species